rnacentral:tRNA from 1 species
GCCUGGCUGGCUCAGACAGUAGAGCAUGUGACUCUUGAUCUUGGGGUUGUAAGUUCAAGCCCUACACUGGGCA